rnacentral:pre_miRNA from 14 species
UAGUUAAUGAGAUAUUGGCCUGGUUCACUCAGACCAAGUGAUAAACCACUAAGAUACAGUAUUGUACUUGUGUGGUUUUGGGUUUGAUUGAGCCGUGCCAAUAUCUCACUACUAUUU